GUGCCUAAAUUAAAUAAGUAAGGAAAACCAUAUAGUCUUGCUGAUCGCUUGACAGGUUUGCUUCUAGGCAAUAUGGGAUUGAAGGGUCUCAACUGAUAUAAGCUUUUCCUUAUGAAUUGCUUUUGAGGUGUUUCCUGGAGUCUCAUAAGAAGCGUAAAUUUUUGUAUGGGUACAGGUCGUCCCUUUGAAUUCAUGAGUCCACUACUUUUCGGACUGUAGAGUUUGGGUGAAGCGAUCUGCCCA